rnacentral:tRNA from 2 species
GCGCCAGUAGCUCAAUUGGAUAGAGCAACAGCCUUCUAAGCUGUAGGUUAAUGGUUCGAGUCCAUUCUGGCGUA